AGCUGGGGACUUGGCCUACUUUCUUAAACAACCCAGGACCGUCCGGGGGUGGCACUAGCCACAAUGAAUCACAAUGAACCAGGUCCUACCAUAUCAUUCACCAGGUUUUUUGUUUUUUAAAAAAAAGCACCACAGGCCAAUCUAGCGGGGUUCUCAGUUGAGGCACUCUCUUCUCAGACAACUCCAGUUUGUAUUAAACUGACAUAAAACUAGGCGACAUGUAAGUCGCAGCCAUUGACUGGCUCACAGGUGAGCAAGCACAUCCUGUGACUCAGGAAGGACUCUAGAUUUUUGAGCUGGAUGCUGGCCUUCAACACAGCUCUCAAGCUCUGGCCCAGAGACAUAUCUGACUGGAUCAGAUUCUCCCAAAACUCUUGGGCCCUCUUCUCUGUUCCCAAGACUAGUGGAUACAGAACGAGUAGUCAAAACCUUUUGUUCUCAUGGCCACUGGAUAUACCAGGUGGGCAGGGAGGAGUGAGUGGGGUACCUCACCCCAACCUCUAUCCCAACUCUGGAGCAUUCAGAACACAGACAUACACAGACAUACAGACACAGUGACACACCCCUCACAAGACACGGGCACAGAUCUCCUUCAUCCCUCUCAGGAACGGGAAACACGGUCUUCCUUAAGGAUGCUGCUGAAACGUCCUGGCACGCAGUCAGAUCUCACUUCGGUUGUGGGGUGCAAGAACUGUCAACCUCACAGGAGACCCAGUCUGUCACCACAUACCACCUCAACCCUCAAGGAUGGAGAUGGAUGGAAACCAGGUAGGAAGGUGCCCAGCCAGGAACCUGGCAGGUGCAAGCUCUCAGGAGAGGCCUGCACGCUCCAGGUCCUGGGGCAGCACCCGGCCCUUCUUGCGGGCCUUCUGUAGCCGUCGCUCGGCCCGAGCUGCCUUCUUCUUGCGCAGGUUCUGGCGUCGCUUGUCCUGUGGCUGCUGCAUCUUCUCCACCACAUGCUCCGAACGCUUCUCCCACUUGCGCUGCCGCUGUGCCCGGCGCUUCUCUUUGCGCUUCAGGGCCUCCUGCAGCAGGCGCUCAUCGACCCUGAUCUUCACACCCUCUGCCUUGUACAGCAAGUUGGUCCACGUCAUCUUGGCCUCCAGCUCCUGGGCCUUGCCUGCAUCCUAAUCGCGAAGCUCCUCCACCCGGCCCUGCCGGGCAUGCAGACGGUCCAGCAGCUGCCUAUAGUUCCUGCCUGUCAGAGGGGUCAAGUUCCCCUUCACCUGCUGCCGCUUCUCCUUCUUGCGCUGCCUUGCUGGCUGGCUCCUCUCCAGCUACCUCCGCCUUAUUAAGGAUCAGCCCUGAUUCCUGCAGAUCCUUGCAGGCCAUUUUGGGGGGCGCCUUGACUGGUUCCUCCUUUUUCUCAGCCUCUGCAACCUGCUGCUUUGCUCGGAGCUCCCUCCGCUUCCUCUUCUUCCGUUCCCUCUCCUGCUUUCUCUGCUGUCUUUUUUUCUAGAGUGGCAGCAGACAGCUCCUUGGUGCCACCCUGGCCCCGGGCCAUCUGGAUCUUCUCAUGCAGCCGCUGUCUCAGGAAAUCCAGUGCAAAGACAGAAUCCGGCGCUGUGCCUCGGCUAUCUUCAGGGGACCCCAGGGAGCCGGAGCUCCCUUGUUUGGAUAGCCCUGGUUUCUUGGCACUAGAAGAGGUGGGAGACUUCUUGCCCAGGGGUUUAGUCUUGUGCUCCAUAGUUUUCUGCUCCUGCUUCCGAGACUUAUUUUGUGUUUUCUUCCUUUUCUUUUUUGGGGGUCCAGCAGCUUCUGAGCCUUUUGUUCUGACAGCCCACUGGCUCCUCUGCCGCUCAGGGCCAGGCUGCGCGCAGAUCUUCUUGGCCAAGUCCUGCAGACAGGCAUCCUUAGCCAGGAGAGAAGCCAUGUUAGCAACCAGGGCUGGAGCUACAAUCAGAGGGUCCCGCGGCCGAGCCCCGCCGGAAGCACGGCGUACGCAGGUACCACGGGCGGAGCGGCGUGACCC
ensembl:lncRNA